CUCUGAGCCAGUGCCUAUUGUCCCACCCCCUCUGCUUCCUGUCCUUCCUCCUCUGAAACCACAACAAGAGAGUCCCCCAGAACUGCCUUCCAGACCAGUUGAUCUCUUCCUGCCGGAGUUCGACGACUCUGAUUAUGAAGAACCCCCGUGGGAGGAGGAAUUGGCAGCUGCUUCAGGAGAAAUGAGUGACAAGGACGAUGCCGAGACCAUGAGGGGGCGGCUGCGCUCAGAGCGUGUCAACAGCCUGUUCAGCGAGGACGAGCUCAUUGAAGACUAUUACGACCAGCCAGCUGC
rnacentral:lncRNA from 1 species